rnacentral:rRNA from 1 species
UACGAAGGGUGCAAGCGUUACUCGGAAUUACUGGGCGUAAAGCGUGCGUAGGUGGUUCGUUAAGUCUGUCGUGAAAGCCCCGGGCUCAACCUGGGAAUGGCGAUGGAUACUGGCGGGCUAGAGUGCGGUAGAGGGUGGUGGAAUUCCCGGUGUAGCAGUGAAAUGCGUAGAGAUCGGGAGGAACAUCAGUUGCGAAGGCGGCUCUCUAGUACGGUACUGACGCUGAGACGCGAAAGCGUGGGGAGCGAACAGG